ACCUGCGGAGGGAUCAUUACACAAAUAUGAAGGCGGGCUGGAAUCUCUCGGGGUUACAGCCUUGCUGAAUUAUUCACCCUUGUCUUUUGCGUACUUCUUGUUUCCUUGGUGGGUUCGCCCACCACUAGGACAAACAUAAACCUUUUGUAAUUGCAAUCAGCGUCAGUAACAAAUUAAUAAUUACAACUUUCAACAACGGAUCUCUUGGUUCUGGCAUCGAUGAAGAACGCAGCGAAAUGCGAUAAGUAGUGUGAAUUGCAGAAUUCAGUGAAUCAUCGAAUCUUUGAACGCACAUUGCGCCCUUUGGUAUUCCAAAGGGCAUGCCUGUUCGAGCGUCAUUUGUACCCUCAAGCUUUGCUUGGUGUUGGGCGUCUUGUCUCUAGCUUUGCUGGAGACUCGCCUUAAAGUAAUUGGCAGCCGGCCUACUGGUUUCGGAGCGCAGCACAAGUCGCACUACUACUAUCAGCAAAGGUCGAGCAUCCUUUAAGCCUUUUUUCAACUAUGACCUCGGAGCCAGUUGAAUUCUUAGCCAA
rnacentral:rRNA from 1 species